AGCGAACGCUGGCGGCAGGCUUAACACAUGCAAGUCGAGCGGGCGUAGCAAUACGUCAGCGGCAGACGGGUGAGUAACGCGUGGGAACGUACCUUUUGGUUCGGGAUAACCCAGGGAAACUUGGGCUAAUACCGGAUAAGCCCUUACGGGGAAAGAUUUAUCGCCGAAAGAUCGGCCCGCGUCUGAUUAGCUAGUUGGUGAGGUAACGGCUCACCAAGGCGACGAUCAGUAGCUGGUCUGAGAGGAUGAUCAGCCACAUUGGGACUGAGACACGGCCCAAACCUACCUACGGGAGGCAGCAGUGGGGAAGUAUUGGACAAUGGGC
rnacentral:rRNA from 1 species